CCUACGGGCGGCAGCAGUGAGGAAUAUUGGUCAAUGGGCGAGAGCCUGAACCAGCCAAGUCGCGUGAGGGAGUACUGCCCUAUGGGUUGUAAACCUCUUUUGUCGGGGAGCAAAAGCCGGACGUGUCCGGCUGUGAGAGUACCCGAAGAAAAAGCAUCGGCUAACUCCGUGCCAGCAGCCGCGGUAAUACGGAGGAUACGAGCGUUAUCCGGAUUUAUUGGGUUUCAAGGGUGCGCAGGCGGAUUUUUAAGUCAGCGGUAAAAUCGUGGGGCUCAACCCCAUCCAGCCGUUGAAACUGGGGAUCUAGAGUGUGCGAGAGGUAUGCGGAAUGCGUGGUGUAGCGGUGAAAUGCAUAGAUAGCACGCAGAACCCCGAUUGCGAAGGCAGCAUACCGGUGCACAACUGACGCUCAGGCACGAAAGCGUGGGUAUCGAACAGGAUUAGAUACCCCAGUAGUC
rnacentral:rRNA from 1 species